CCUACGGGAGGCUGCCGUGGGGGAUAUUGCACAAUGGGGGAAACCCUGAUGCAGCGACGCCGCGUGUGGGAAGACGGUCCUCUGGAUUGUAAACCACUGUCCCCAGGGACGAAGAUGACGGUACCUGGGGAGGAAGCUCCGGCUAACUACGUGCCAGCAGCCGCGGUAAUACGUAGGGAGCGAGGGUUGUCCGGAAUUACUGGGGGUAAAGGGAGCGUAGGCGGGGAUGCAAGUUGGGUGUCAAAACUACCGGCUCAACUGGUAGUCGCACUCAAAACUGCAGCUCUUGAGUGGUGUAGAGGCAGGCGGAAUGCCUAGUGUAGCGGUGAAAUGCGUAGAUAUUAGGCGGAACACCAGUGGCGAAGGCAGCAUGCUGGGGUUUUACUGACGCUGAGGCUCGAAAGUGUGGGGAGCGAACAGGAUUAGAUACCCUUGUAGUC
rnacentral:rRNA from 1 species